UUUACAUUUUUAAUCCUUUUCUUAAUGGACAAAAAAAAAAAACUGGGGCCAGGAUUCAGUCAUAGAGCUGGUCUAGGAUCAGGUCCCACCUGUCCAUGUAAUCUAAUAGGACCAGUAUUCAGUCAUAGAGCUGGUCUAGGAUCAGGUCCCCCUGUCCAUGUAAUCUAAUAGGACCAGUAUUCAGUCAUAGAGCUGGUCUAGGAUCAGGUCCCCCUGUCCAUGUAAUCUAAUAGGACCAGUAUUCAGUCAUAGAGCUGGUCUAGGAUCAGGUCCCCCUGUCCAUGUAAUCUAAUAGGACCAGUAUUCAGUCAUAGAGCUGGUCUAGGAUCAGGUCCCCCUGUCCAUGUAAUCUAAUAGGACCAGUAUUCAGUCAUAGAGCUGGUCUAGGAUCAGGUCCCCCCUGUCCAUGUAAUCUAAUAGGACCAGUAUUCAGUCAUAGAGCUGGUCUAGGAUCAGGUCCCCCUGUCCAUGUAAUCUAAUAGGACCAGUAUUCAGUCAUAGAGCUGAUCUAGGAUCAGGUCCCUCUGUCCAUGUAAUCUAAUAGGACCAGUAUUCAGUCAUAGAGCUGGUCUAGGAUCAGGUCCCCCUGUCCAUGUAAUCUAAUAGGACCAGUAUUCAGUCAUAGAGCGGGUCUAGGAUAAUAUAAUAAUAUAAUAUAUAAUAAUAUAUGCCAUUUAUCAGACGCUUUUAUCCAAAGCGACUUACAGUCAUGUGUGCAUACAUUCUACGUAUGGGUGGUCCCGGGGAUUGAACCCACUACCCUGGCGUUACAAGCACCAUGCUCUACCAACUGAGCUACAGAAGGACCAUAAG